AGAAACCGGAGCCACAGAGGACAGGGUAGAGUCGCAGAAAGGAGAGACACACAUACAUGGAAAGAGGAGCUUUCUCCAAUCUUAAUGAUUCCCAGCUCUCAGCCUCGUUUCUGCAACCCAGCCUGCAAGCAAACUGUCCUGCUUUGGACCCUGCUGUGUCACUCUCCGCACCAGCCUUUGCCUCUGCUCUUCGCUCUAUGAAGUCCUCCCAGGCUGCACGGAAGGACGACUUUCUCAGGUCUCUUAGGGAUGGAGACUCAGGGACAUCAGAACACAUCUCAGCGGUGGUGACUAGUCCUCGGAUUUCCUGCCAUGGUGCUGCCAUUCCCACCGCCCGUGCCCUCUGCCUAGGCUGUUCCUGCUGCACCGAACGCCUCCUCCUGCCACCGCCCUCCCUCCUUUCUUUAGAAGCCCCUGCCAGCACCUGAGCUCUCUGCUGAUUGCUGUUCCUCCCAGUCUGUGGAAGCUUUGCCCAUAUGCUUUCCUUAAAAGGGUUCUGGGCAGGGCAGGCGCCCCCAUUUCUCAGGGAUCCCCUCCAGGACAACGCCUUUUCCUUGUGUCUUCAGCUCUCCUUACCAGAUAUCUAUAUAUUUGUAUAUAUUCAGUUUCACCAACAACGCAUCAAGUACUUUUUUUUUUUUAAGUAAAGAACCGAAGU
ensembl:lncRNA novel transcript